CAUGCACUCAAGGGGGGUUCCCUCAGUCGGGAUUGCAAGAGGGCGCAGGCCAGCCUGAGGGACCCCACUGGUGCAUG
rnacentral:pre_miRNA from 1 species